ACUGAGCACUUGACCCGGCCCACCCAAAAACCGAACCGACCCGAACCGACCCGAUAUGCUUUGGAUGGGUCUAAGAAUAUUCGGGUCGGGUUUCGGGUCUCAUUUUCGGGUUAUUUUCGGUUUUGGGUCGGGUUCGGGUCGGUUUUCGGGUCCUAUAAAUAUCUUAGUCUGAACCCGAUUCUUGUGUUUCUGAAAAAAAAAAAAAAACCCUACGUUCUCUUCUCUUCAGUCUCCGCCUCCCUCAGCUCUCUGCCUCCCUCCCUCCCUCACCUCUCUCUUUAUUCCUCAAAGGUUUAAACCAGUUUCAAGCUAUUUGCUCCAUUUGUCUCUGUGUUUUUAACUAAAGGGCUCUUCUGCCUCUCUCUGGGGUUUCACUAUUUUGCUUUUCGCCAAGGCAGUAGUAGCUGAUGAUAUAUGCAUUAGCUAUGACAAAAAGGUGGUCGAGCUUUGAUAUGUAUCCAACAUUUGACUAGUUGUGGGAUUUUAGAGCUUACUGAGAACAUAAAAAAAGUUGGGGAAGCAAAAGCCUAACACCACAACCACCAGCAACCCCAUGUGUAUGAAGCCAAGUUUAAUGUUGGAGCUUGAAGAAGUGCUUACAUGCAGGAUUACUGAAAAGAAACUUUUUUUUGACAAUUAAGCAUUCUGUCCAGCAAUGGAUUGCUGUAAUUUGUUUCACGACUAAGCAUUUUGUUGUAAUGUAAAGCUUUAGAUAUCUUGUCAUAGUUUUUCAUUUCCGGCUCUUUAGUGCUUGUGUUGGUUUUUAUGCAUUUGUUUUGCUUUCUCAAAGUUCUAACACUGUUUGGAGAGUACACAACAGAAUGAAAUGAAUUAGAGUGGAUAGGUUAUAAAUGAAUGGAAUGUGGAGGACUAUAUUAUUUUCUUUUGUUUGGUGUGCUUUGGAGUUGCAUAAUAGAAGGAAUGGAAAGAAGAGAUAUCAUACUUUGAUGGUUCAA